GUGUAUUCUAGGUUUCUGACAGAGUCAUGGCAUUACUCUAGUAAAACUUUUAUGGUAGGCACGUCUUAAGGCCCAUGAGCUCUCCGCAGGCCUGCCUACUUACCGCCUAUCGUCUAUAAUUCGCAGGCUAUAGAUUCAGGCCAAUCGUCGAAAGGACUAGUUAAAAAUCUGCUUGGCAGAAUCAUAACGCCCGUCAUUUUUCAGGCGCCACCAAUUAAUUGC
ensembl:ncRNA T14B4.15 ncRNA